CUCUACAUCAAAACCGUUCAGGUUCAAAGUCCAGGCUUUCUGAUGUUCCUUCUUGGUGGGCGUCUGGCUGUUUUCAGGCUGGUUCUCCUUGCUCAGGAGGAAGCUGGCAACCUCCAUCUGGGCAGCACUGCGAUGGGGGAUAUAGCGGUCACCGCCAGGUUUGCUAGGAGUGGUCUGAACCUUGGAACUGGAUUUGCCAGGAGUUCGGCCCGGAGUCCUGCUGGCGCUGUGGGAUCGGUUGGCGGCCCGCAUGGAGUCCAACCAGGAUGGCGACUUGACUGGAUUUUACAGUUUCAUUGACACGCAUGAGCUCUAUCAAACUUCUGGGAGUUUUUCUGAAAUGUUUACAUGGAAGGCACCUGGAGCCCAUUGAAUUUCCCUCUUCAAAUGCUUAAGUUUUCUUCUGUCUUGGUGGCUACUGCCUCCUUCUCACUUUCUGCCUUAGGUCAAGAUAAAUGAGUUUUUCCCCAAGAAAGCCAUAUGGAUCUCUGAGGUUUUGAACUCUAACCAAUGCUAUCUCGUUGAUUGCCUUUGGAUUUCAGGGUCUUAUUUUACGUCAACCUCAGCCUCUCUCUUCUGCAGUUCCAUAUCCACAUGAGCUACAAGAGUCCCAUGUAGGUCCCUUCCUCUGCUAAUAGCUGCCUCAUUGUACUGCUUCUGUAUUCACUUCAGAGAUAGAGGAUCAAAUGGUAGAAACUUUUGGCAAACUUUUGACCAGAGAAUGGCUUACAUGGGAAUUAAUUAUGCACUUGUUCGUUUUACUCUAUAGAACAAUCCCAUCUGUAUUGGAUCUGUAUGUUCCAUCUCCCAUGUGAAAGAAGCACCCUACAAAGAUAACUUCAGUCUGGGCACAGUGGCUCACACCUGUAAUCCCAGAACUUUGGGAGCCUGAGUGGGGAGGAUCUUUUGAGCCCAGGAGUUCGAGACUAGUCUGGGCAACAAAGAGAGACCCUGUUUCUAAAACAAAAAUAAAAACAAAGAUAUCUUCCGAGCCUGUUCAGUCUUUGGUCCUGGUUUAGAUAUAGGUAUAUAGAGAGAGCUAUUUGAGUAAUCAAUUCCCAAUAUGGUAUGAUUUGAGCAUUUGGAGAGGUCUUCUUUACAUAUCAUAGUACUUAGAUUAUUACCAAUAAAUAUUUUUCUUUUGGGGUUAACAUUACAGUAAUAAUAUAUUUUGAAUCUAAAAUUUGGAUGGAGACACAGGACACAGAAUAUAUAAUGCUCAAAAAAUGUAAUGCUCAAUGAAUGUCUCUAUCAUAUUCUUUUUUGUUGUUGUUGUUGUUAUAUAGAUGAGGCCUUCCUAUAUUGUCCAGGCUGGUCUCAAACACCCAGCUUUGCCUCCUUAUGUGCCAGGAAAACAGGCCUGAGCCACCAAGACUCUCAAUAUAUUAUUAAAAUAUAAACAAAUUACUUGAAGUGGUACCCCUCAAAAUAA
ensembl:lncRNA LINC02893 long intergenic non-protein coding RNA 2893